rnacentral:rRNA from 1 species
AAAAGAAAAUUGAAUUUAUUAAGUGAAAUUUUAUAUUCAAAAUAUUUUUAUAAAAAAUAAUUGAAGGCUAAAAAAUUUUUUAAAAAAACUAGGAUUAGAUACCCUAUUAUUUAAAAUGUAAUUAUAAAUAUUAAAGUAGUAAUAGAUAUGUUCUUGAAACUUAAAAAAUUUGGCGGUAUUUUAGUCUAUCCAGAGGAUCCUGUAUGGUAAUCGAUAAUCCACGAUGGACCUUACUUAAAUUUGUAAUCAGGUUAUUUACCGUCGUUAUCAGAAUAUUUUAUAAGAAUAAUAAUAUUCAAUAAUUUAAAUAAAAAUUUAUAUCAGAUCAAGGUGUAGCUUAUAUUUAAGUAAUAAUGGGUUACAAUAAAAUUAUUUAUACGGAUAAAAUUAUGAAAAAGAGUUUUGAAGGUGGUUUGGAAGUAAAAUUAUAAAGAUAAAUAAUUUGAUUUUAGCUCUAAAAUAUGUACACAUCGCCCGUCGCUCUUAUUAUUAAGGUAAGAUAAGUCGUAACAUAGUAGAUGUACUGGAAAGUGUAUCUAGA